GUAAGGAAUAUUGGUCAAUGGACGCAAGUCUGAACCAGCCAUGCCGCGUGGAGGAUGAAGGUCCUCUGGAUUGUAAACUUCUUUUAUUUGGGAAGAAACCACCGAUUUCUAUUGGUGUUGACGGUACCAGAUGAAUAAGCACCGGCUAACUCCGUGCCAGCAGCCGCGGUAAUACGGAGGGUGCAAGCGUUAUCCGGAUUCACUGGGUUUAAAGGGUGCGUAGGCGGGUUGGUAAGUCCGUGGUGAAAUCUCCAAGCUUAACUUGGAAACUGCCGUGGAUACUAUCAAUCUUGAAUAUAGUGGAGGUGAGCGGAAUAUGUCAUGUAGCGGUGAAAUGCUUAGAUAUGACAUAGAACACCCAUUGCGAAGGCAGCUCGCUACACUAUUAUUGACGCUGAGGCACGAAAGCGUGGGGAUCAAACAGGAUUAGAUACCCUUGUAGUCC
rnacentral:rRNA from 1 species